GAUGAACGCUGGCGGCGUGCCUAAUACAUGCAAGUCGAGCGAACGGACGAGAAGUUUGCUCUUCUGAUGUUAGCGGCGGACGGGAGAGUCACACGUGGAUAACCUACCUAUAAGACUGGGAUAACUACGGGAAACCGGAGCUAAUACCGGAUAAUAUUUUGAACCGCAUGGUUCAUAAGUGAAAGACGGUCUUGCUGUCACUUAUCGAUUGAUCCGCGCUGCAUUAAGUAGUUGGUAAAGUAACAGCUUACCAAGGCAACGAUGCAUAGCCGAGCUGAGAGGGAGAUCGUUCACACGGAAACUGAGACACGGUGCUAACGCCUACGUGAGACAGGAGCAAGUGAACUUGCGAAAUCGGCGGUAGCCUGUCGUGGCAACGCCGCGUGAGUGGUGAAGGUCUACGGUUUGUAAAACUCUGUUGUUGGUGCAUGGAAUAUGUGUAGGUAACUGUGUAAAUCUGACGGUAACGUAACCAGAAUGCCUCGGCAAACACCGU
rnacentral:rRNA from 1 species